rnacentral:rRNA from 1 species
GAUGAACGCUAGCUACAGGCUUAACACAUGCAAGUCGAGGGGUAACGAGAGGUAAGCUUGCUUUCCUUGUCGACGACCGGCGCACGGGUGAGUAACGCGUAUCCAACCUGCCCCCAACUAAGGAAUAACCUUGCGAAAGUAAGACUAAUACCUUAUAAUUUCCUCAGAUGUCAUCUGACGAGGAAUAAAGAUUUAUCGGUUGUGGAUGGGGAUGCGUCUGAUUAGCUUGUUGGCGGGGUAACGGCCCACCAAGGCAACGAUCAGUAGGGGUUCUGAGAGGAAGGUCCCCCACAUUGGAACUGAGACACGGUACAAACUCCUACGGGAGGCAGCAGUGAGGAAUAUUGGUCAAUGGGCGGAAGCCUGAACCAGCCAAGUAGCGUGCAGGAUGACGGCCCUAUGGGUUGUAAACUGCUUUUAUACAGGAAUAAAGUUGGCCACGUGUGGUUAUUUGUAGGUACUGUAUGAAUAAGGACCGGCUAAUUCCGUGCCAGCAGCCGCCGUAA